UGAGAGCACAGCAUUUGUCACUCAGCGUCUGAGCAACUUCAGUGACACCACCAGGAAAGGUCUACAUCGGUCCAAAUGGCACGCUUCCCACAUGUGGCAUCAUUUUUUCUUUUUCUGACUAAGCUCAGCAUUGGCCAGCGAGAAGUAACAGUUCAGAAAGGACCGCUAUUCAGAGCUGAAGGUUACCCCAUCAGCAUCGGCUGCAAUGUAACUGGCCACCAAGGACCUUCUGAGCAGAAUUUCCAGUGGUCUGUUUACCUGCCGACAGCCCCGACACAAGAAAUCCAGAUCAUUAGCACCAUGGACGACACCUUCUCUUAUGUAGUGUAUGCAAAGCGGGUAAAAAGUAGGGAAAUCUACGUGGAGAGGGUCCAGGGUAACUCAGUCUUUUUGCACAUUUCCAAGCUCCAGAUGAAGGAUACUGGCGAGUAUGAGUGUUUCACACCCAACACUGAUGAAAAAUACUACGGGACCUACAGUGCGAAGACUACUCUUACUGUUAUUCCAGAUACCCUCUCGGUGGCCAUGGCGCCCCAGACUCUAAACAAGGAGGAAGGUGAGCGGUUGGAACUUACCUGUGAGGUGUCCAAAGCCACAGCUCAACACACCCACCUCUCCAUCACCUGGUACCUGAUGAAGGAUGGAGAAGGAAGCCAAGCCAGCAAGAUUAUUUCCCUCUCCAAAGAUUUUACGUUGCUCCCUGGGCCCUUGUUUACAGAGAGGUUUGCAGCUGGUGAUGUGCGCCUCGACAAGCUUGGGGUCACUACCUUCAGGCUGUCCAUGGGGAGGCUCCAGCCCUCGGACCAAGGUCAGCUGUUCUGUGAGGCAACUGAAUGGAUUCAGGAUCCUGAUGAAACCUGGACUUCCAUCACGAAAAAGCAGACAGAUCAAACAACCCUCAGGGUCCAGCCGGCAGUGAGAGAUUUUCAAGUCAACAUUAGAGCUGAGAGCACGGUACGUGAAGGAAAAUCCUUAGAACUGGUUUGCCUGGUCAUGGGUGGUGGCCAGGACCCACACCUUCAGGCCACUUGGUUCUUCAAUGAUGUUGAAACGGCCCACAUUGAUGCUGGCGGAGUUCUGGAUCUGAAGAAAGAUUACCAAGAAAGAGCAAGUCAAGGACAGCUCCAGGUUUCAAAGUUAAGCCCCAAGUCUUUCUCUCUCAAGAUCUUCUCUGUGGGCCCAGAGGAUGAAGGUGCAUACAGAUGUGCAGUGGCAGAGGUAACAAGAGCCCAGAUGGGCUCCUGGCAGGUGCUGCAGAACAAACAGUCGCCAGACAGCUUUGUGCACCUUUGGAAGCAAGCAGCAAGAAAUGUGGUCGUGUCUACCAAGAACCGGCAGCAAGCAGUGUGGGAAGGAGAGGUGUUAACCCUUCUCUGCAAGGCAGAUGGAGCUGAGAAUCUCCUGACUGUGGCCUGGUGGCAUGUCCCACAAAACCAAACACAGCCGGUGUUUGUGGCUGGCAUGGAGCAGGAUGGCACUGUGAAGCUCGGUGCUUCAUAUGGGGAACUCGAUAACCUCAGAAAUGCAAGGCUGGAGAAAACGGACUGGGCCACCUUCCAACUUGAGAUCACCUCCACCACCAUCACAGACAGUGGCAUGUACGAGUGCAGAGUGUCUGAGAGGACCCGGAGCCAGGCCAGAGACCAGAGCUGGACUCAGAUGGUGUCGAUCACCGUAAAGCCCCUCGAGUCAAGUUUGCAAGUUAGUCUGAUGAGCCGUCUACCACAAGUGAAAUUAACCAACACCUUUGACCUGUCCUGCAUAGUGAGGGUUGGCUAUUCUGACCUCAGGGUUCCACUCACCGUGACAUGGCUGUUCCAGCCAGCCAGAUCUCAAGCCUUUGAUCUGUUUCUUCAAAUCACCCACAAUGGCACUAUUGAAUGGGGGAGCUGCCUACCCCAGUUCCAAAGGAAGACGAAGAUUUCACAGUCUCCAUUUCAUUCUCGGCUCCUAAUCCAUGAUGCCACUGAGGAAGAAGCAGGAGUUUAUCAGUGUAAAGUAGAAGUUUAUGACAGAAAUUCUCUGUCAAGAAAUAGUCCUGUGAAGGCUUCUGCUACCUCUCACCCACUAAGGAUCAUUGUCACUUUACCAGAGAGCAAACUGAAGGUGAAUUCAAGCAGUCAAGUCCAAGAGAUCUCCAUCAACUCCAACACUGACAUAGAGUGUAGCAUCCUGUCCCAAUCCCCUGGAAACCUCCAGUUGGUCGUGACUUGGUACUUCUCUCCCAUUUCCACCGAUGCACCCUGGCUGAGGAUCCUGGAAGUGGACCACAACCACAUAGUAAAAUAUGGGGAUGAAUUUCAGACCACACAGAGAAAACAGAAAUUCCACGCCGAGAAAGUUUCCCAAGACUUGUUUCAGCUACACAUUCUGAAUGUGGAAGACAGCGAUCAGGGCAAAUAUCGCUGUGCUGUGGAGGAAUGGCUCUGGUCUACAAAUAGCACGUGGCACAAGCUUGGAGAACAGACAUCAGGUCUCACAGAAUUGAAACUCAGGCCCACAGAAAGUAAGGUGCGCAUCUCCAAAGUGUCCCGGACAGAAAAUGCCUCCGAGCACAGUGAGGCGACCAUCUGCUGCAGCCUGGAGGGUGCCAUCAACCCUGCCUCCCUGUUCUCUGUGAUGUGGUACCGGCAGAGAGAAGAUUCUGGAAGCAGGAUGUUGGUGCACCUGCAGCGUGAUGGCUUGCUGGAAUAUGGUGAAGAGGGGCUCAGGCAGCGCCUGCACUCUUACCGCUCAUCCGCUGCCGACUUUGUCCUGGCUCUACAGCGGGUGGAGAUGAAGGAUGCUGGAAAAUACUGGUGCAAGGUGGCGGAGUGGCGGCUCCACAGCAACCCAAGCAAGUGGGUCAGCCAAGCAUCAGACGAGUCACAGCCUGUGGUGCUCAGGGUGCUGCGGCCAGAGUCCACGUUUCCUUCCAGGAUCUGUUCGUCAGCACCUUUAGUCUAUUUCCUAUUCAUCUGCCCCUUCGUCAUACUCCUCUUUCUGCUCAUAUCCCUCCUUUGCCUGUACUGCAAGGCCAAGAAGUUGUCAGCUCUGAGUCUAAGCGUGCAGAAAGAACAGAGCCUCUGGGUGAACUUGAAAGGGGCUGGAGGCUGGACCACAAACAGGAUGGGAGACAACCAUGAUGAAGACAGUUGAAUCCUGAGAGGUGCCCACAAAGAGGAAAGACUUUGGAACUGGACUGCCCAAGAUAGGCGUGCCCCCUGGUUCUGUCCUUCUCUGAGUCUGUGGCCUGGGGUAAACUACCCAGGACUCAGAGGAAACAUGUAUUGAGCUUGUUUGUGGUUCCAGAAACAGUUAAGAGUUUCUUUGUAUUUCAUCUAAUCACCCCCUUGCAUUUUCCCAGGAGCUGCUGCUGCUGCUGCUAAGUCGCUUCAGUCGUGUCCAACUCUGUGCGACCCCAUAGAUGGUAGCCUACCAGGCUCCCCUGUUCCUGGGAUUCUCCAGGCAAGAACACUGGAGUGGGUUGCCAUUUCCUUCUCCAAUGCAUGAAAGUGAAAAUUCAAAAUGAAGUCGCUCAGUCGUGUCUGACUCUUCGCGACCUCAUGGACUGCAGCCUACCAGGCUCCUCCGUCCAUGGGAUUUUUCAGGCAAGAGUACUGGAGUGGGAUGCCAUUGCCUUCUCCGCCCCCAGGAGCUAGGUCUUACAUUUGCCACACCUCCCAAGGCUUGGGCUCCUCAUCCAGAAGACCUGUAAGGAGAAGAGUACCUCCCUCACUCAGCUGCUGGGGAUGAAGUGAGAUCCUAUGGCAGAUUCCAGGACCAUGCUUCUUCCACCUUGCUCUCUUAGGUCACUGAUUCUCUGGAGAAUACUCAGCGGUCCAGCCACCCUGGCUUUAGGUGAUCUUUGCCUCCAAAUCAGAGGCAUAGGAGAGGACCUGAAGCCAGCAAGGCAAGAGAAGUUGGGAAUGUGCCCUUCAUUCGCAUCAAAUGUGCCUCCCAACCAGACUGUGACAACCCUGAAGACAGAAAUCCCAUCUUCUCCUCCACCCCAUCGCCAUCCCUACUCUGAAAGCUAGCUACUCACAAGCAAGCUCGGCAUA
rnacentral:lncRNA from 1 species